rnacentral:rRNA from 1 species
AUGCUCCUCUCGGUGCGCCGCCUGCCCACCGCUCCGUCCCGCCCAGCGGCCCACCCGCACAUCUCCCCUGCGCCGCCCACCCUCCGGCUCCGGCGACAACACGGUCGAGUGGCGGUGGCGAUGGCGAGGACGGCGUCAACGGCGCCUGCGAUGAAUUCGCAUAUCUUCUCGGCCCCCCUCACGGCAAAAUUCAGGCUCCGCCGCCAACCAAAUGUCAAGAGAUAUAAGUGCAAUGUCAUACGGAGUAACCUCUUCGAUAGAUUAACCAGGGUUGCCAGGUCCUAUGCAAAUGCAGUUAUUAGUUCAUUUGAAGACCCCGAGAAGAUCCUAGAUCAGGCGGUUCUGGAGAUGAAUGAUGAUUUAAUAAAGAUGCGGCAGGCCACUGCACAGGUCUUGGCAUCCCAAAAGCGGCUUGAGAACAAGUGCAAAGCGGCUCAACAAGCUGAUGCUGACUGGUAUCGGAGGGCUCAACUUGCUCUUCAAAAGGGCGAUGAGGAGCUUGCACGUGAAGCCCUGAAACGCCGUAAAUCAUAUGCUGACAAUGCAAGCUCCUUAAAGACCCAGCUUGAUCAGCAGAGGAGUGUUGUUGAAAAUCUUGUUUCAAAUACCAAGCUUCUUGAGAGCAAAAUAGCAGAGGCCAGGCAGAAAAAGGAUACCCUAAAAGCCCGUGCUCAAUCAGCCAAAACUGCAACAAAAGUGAGUGAAAUGUUGGGGAAUGUGAAUACAAGUAGUGCCCUGUCGGCAUUUGAGAAAAUGGAGGAAAAAGUUAUGACGAUGGAAUCCCAAGCUGAGGCACUUGGUCAGUUAGGAGCAGAUGAUCUAGAAGGAAAGUUCGCUAUGCUUGAGACUACAUCGGUUGAUGAUGAUCUUGCACAAAUGAGAAAAGAACUGUCUGGGAGCUCUUUGAAAGGUGAACUUCCUCAAGGUAGAACCGCUACUCCUCGAGACAGGGAUAUCGAGAGGGAGUUAAAUGAGCUGCGGGAGAAGGCCAACGAUUAUUAG